rnacentral:rRNA from 1 species
GACGAACGCUGGCGGCGUGCUUAACACAUGCAAGUCGAACGGUAAGGCCCUUCGGGGUACACGAGUGGCGAACGGGUGAGUAACACGUGGGUGAUCUGCCCUGCACUUCGGGAUAAGCCUGGGAAACUGGGUCUAAUACCGGAUAGGACCACUGCCUGCAUGGGUGGUGGGGGAAAGCUUUUGCGGUGUGGGAUGGGCCCGCGGCCUAUCAGCUUGUUGGUGGGGUGAUGGCCUAACAAGGCGACGACGGGUAGCCGGCCUGGGAGGGUGACCGGCCACACUGGGACUGAGAUACGGCCCAGACUCCCACGGGAGGCAGCAGUGGGGAAUAUUGCACAAUGGGCGCAAGCCUGAUGCAGCGACGCCGCGUGAGGGAUGACGGCCUUCGGGUUGUAAACCUCUUUCAGCACCGACGAAGCGCAAGUGACGGUAGGUGCAGAAGAAGGACCGGCCAACUACGUGCCAGCCGCCGCAGUAA